rnacentral:rRNA from 1 species
CCCUAUUAUAUUUAUAAAAAAUUAAGUUUGAGGUAGUAAUUGUUAUAUACAAUAAACUUAAAGAAUUUGGCGGUAUUUAUUCUAAUUAGAGGAAUAUGUUUUUUAAAUGAUAAUCCCCAAAAAUCUUACUUUGAUUUUAGCUUUGUUUAUCUCCGUCUAAAAAAGUUUUUUGAAAAUAUAUUUUGUAAUUUUUGAAGAAUAGAAGUCAGGUCACGAUGCAGGUUAUAUUAAAGUUAAAAUGUAUUACAAUAAAGUUAUUUAUAGAAUUUGGUUUGGACAACAAUUGGAAAUUGGAUUUAAAAGUAAGAUUUAUUGAAUAAAAUAAUUUG